CAUUGGCAAUCCUGUCCAAGGAGCGUCAAGCCGUCAACCCAACCCAGAUUAGGGUCAUUUGGUUGGCGAAGGAAAGUAAAGAAAGCCAAAUGGCCUUUUGGCCUACAGGUGACACCAGCUAUUAGAAGUGUUCCCGUUUAAAGUGAUGGAUAAAUCUAUUGUUGACACUAACUCUGGCAAGAGAGAGAACGCCCUGUACUUUUCAGCAAGAAGACUCCAAGCAGGAGGCCUUGGAGCAAGAAGACUCCAAGCAAGAGGGCUCAGAGCAAGAAGACUGCAAGAAGAGGCCUCAGAAGACUGCAAGCAGGCGACCUAAGAGCAAAAACAAAAACACUGCAAGCACGAGACAGACUGAAUACACAGAAAAGAGAGAAAAUGUCGGGUACUGUUCAGCAUGAGAGGAACUAAAUUGGUUUCAGAGCGUGAAAACUCCAAGCAAGAGGCCUCAGAGCAAAAACAAGAAGACCGCAAGCAGGAGGCCUUAACAAAAACACACUGCAAGCUUGCAAAGAGAUUAGACUGAAUACACAAGAAAAGAGGCUAGAGUGAAAAUGGCUGGUACUGUUCAGCUCGCAAGCAACUAAAUUAGCCUCAGAGAAAGGAGACUGCAAGUAAGAGAGGCCUCACAGCAUAGAACUGCAAGUAAGAGAGCCUCACAGCAUAGAACUGCAAGUAAGAGAGGCCUCACAGCAUAGAACUGCAAGUAAGAGAGGCCUCACAGCAUAGAACUGCAAGUAAGAGAGGCCUCACAGCAUAGACAAGAAGACUGCAAGUAAGAGAGGCCUCACAGCAUAGACAAGAAGACUGCAAGUAAGAGAGGCCUCACAGCAUAGACAAGAAGACUGCAAGUAAGAGAGGCCUCACAGCAUAGACAAGAAGACUGCAAGUAAGAGAGGCCUCACAGCAUAGACAAGAAGACUGCAAGUAAGAGAGGCCUCACAGCAUAGAACUGCAAGUAAGAGAGGCCUCACAGCAAAGAACUGCAAGUAAGAGAGGCCUCACAGCAUAGAACUGCAAGUAAGAGAGGCCUCACAGCAUAGACAAGAAGACUGCAAGUAAGAAAGGCCUUGGAGCAAAAAGAAGCCUAGGGUUGAUAAAAAAAAAAAAUUCUAAAUGUUAAUACUGAAAAAAAAAAAUUUUUUUAGCCAGACAGCUGGAGUUGGCAGCCAAAAA